rnacentral:tRNA from 1 species
GGAGGGGUGUCCGAGCUGGCCGAAGGAGCACGACUGGAAAUCGUGUAAGCCUUAAAAGGGCUUCGUGGGUUCGAAUCCCACCCCCUCCG